rnacentral:sRNA from 1 species
GGAACCGAACCUGGAAGCCCCGGCGGCAGUGGGGCUGUUGCUGUUGCUGUCGCUGUCGCUGCCCGUCAGGCUGCCUUCUUUUGUCGUUUCCCAGCGCUGCGCAGGACUUCUCCUGGAGGCGCUGCGGGUCCAGGGGGUCGGCUGCCAGGUACAGGUUUGGAAGGCUUUGUUACAAGAAAUGCCGCUUACUGCAUUACUAAGGAAUCUAGGAAAGAUGACUGCUAAUUCAGUACUUGAACCAGGAAAUUCAGAAGUAUCUUUAGUAUGCGAAAAACUGUGUAAUGAAAAACUAUUAAAAAAGGCUCGUAUACAUCCAUUUCAUAUUUUGAUCGCAUUAGAAACUUACAAGACAGGUCAUGGUCUCAGAGGGAAACUGAAGUGGCGCCCUGAUGAAGAAAUUUUGAAAGCAUUGGAUGCUGCUUUUUAUAAAACAUUUAAGACAGUUGAACCAACUGGAAAACGUUUCUUACUAGCUGUUGAUGUCAGUGCUUCUAUGAACCAAAGAGUUUUGGGUAGUAUACUCAAUGCUAGUACAGUUGCUGCAGCAAUGUGCAUGGUUGUCACACGAACAGAAAAAGAUUCUUAUGUAGUUGCUUUUUCCGAUGAAAUGGUACCAUGUCCAGUGACUACAGAUAUGACCUUACAACAGGUUUUAAUGGCUAUGAGUCAGAUCCCAGCAGGUGGAACUGAUUGCUCUCUUCCAAUGAUCUGGGCUCAGAAGACAAACACACCUGCUGAUGUCUUCAUUGUAUUCACUGAUAAUGAGACCUUUGCUGGAGGUGUCCAUCCUGCUGUUGCUCUGAGGGAGUAUCGAAAGAAAAUGGAUAUUCCAGCUAAAUUGAUUGUUUGUGGAAUGACAUCAAAUGGUUUUACCAUUGCAGACCCAGAUGAUAGAGGCAUGUUGGAUAUGUGCGGCUUUGAUACUGGAGCUCUGGAUGUAAUUCGAAAUUUCACAUUAGAUAUGAUUUAACCAUAAGCAGCAGCACGAUCCAGAGAUCCAUUGCCAUCAGUGAUCUCACUAAAAAUAUACAGCUACUUCCCAGCUAAUCUCCACCCAAUGAAUGAUGAUGGUAUAGUAUGUGCAUAAUGGAAAGUUACCUUACUGAAAAAAAAAAAAGAAGGAAAAAUAAGAUGGGCCCAAAGGUCUAUCUACUAAACUAGCUCUUGGGGAAAUAGCUUCAGGAUACUGUAGUUUCCUCUAUCUAAUAGAGAACUUUUUGUUAACAGACACUGUAAAAUAGUUUUGCUUUGUUGAAUAAUACAUGUGUACCUAAAAGAGGUAAGAGCAAAAAGUGUAAUUCCACAUCAUGUUACUUGAGAAGUGCUUAACGUUUUCUUAAAUGUUUUCAUUGGGAAAGGACAGCUUUGAUAAUGUCCAAAUACUCUGAAAUGCACUAGACCAUAUAACUGUGAUGAAAUAUGAAACUCAUCUGUAAACUUUUAUACCAAGGGGGUAAAAAAAAAAAAAACUAAGGCA